rnacentral:rRNA from 1 species
GAGUUUGAUCGUGGCUCAGGACGAACGCUGGCGGCGUGCCUAAAACAUGCAAGCCGAACGAGAUCUUCGGAUCUAGUGGCGAACGGCGGAGUAAGACAUGAGCAACGUGCCCCUAUGACUGGGAUAUACAGAGGAAACUCUGGGCAAUACCGGAUGUGGCCAACCAUUGGCAUCUUUGGUUGACUAAACGGAUUUAUUCGCAUAGGGAGCGGCUCAUGACCCAUCAGGUAGUUGGUAGGGUAACGGCCUACCAAGCCGACGACGGGUAGCGGGUCUGAGAGGAUGGCCAGCCACAUUGGGACUGAGAAACGGCCCAGACUCCUACGGGAGGCAGCAGUGGGGAAUCUUGCGCAAUGGUCGAAAGACUGACGCAGCGACGCCGCGUGCGGGAGGAAGCUCUUCGGGGUGUAAACCGCUGUUGCCCGGGACGAAAGCUGGAGUUCACUUCAGUUGACUGUACCGGGUGAGGAAGCGCCGGCUAACUCUGUGCCAGCCGCCGCGGU